rnacentral:snRNA from 1 species
CUCCUUACCUGGCAGGGGAGAUGCCAUGGCCACGAGGGCGGUUUUCCCAGAGCGAGGCUUAUCCGUUGCCCUGUGGAUGUGCUGCCCCUGCGAUUUCCCCACAUGUGGGACACGGGGCUGCAUAAUUUGCAGCAGGGGGGGACUGCGUUCGCGCUCUCCCCUG